rnacentral:lncRNA from 1 species
UUCUGUGCUUUUCCCUUUCUACUGGUGCGGCUCCUAGGCAUCAUUUGUCAGCGCUCCUCCUCCUGCUCUUCUUCCUCUCUCCUCUCUCCUCCUCCCUCUCCUCUUCUCCUCCUCUUCCUCCUCUCCCCCUCCUUCUCCUCCUCUCCUCCUGCUCUCGCUGCUGCUGCUUCCCUCGCUGCUGCUCUCACUGCUGCUGCUGCCCUCGCUGCUGCUGCUGCUGCCCUUGCUGCUCCUGCCCUCGCUGCUGUUGCUGCUACCCCUGCCAGGGGCCCGGGUUUCGCAGGAGAGCUAAGCAAAGCAAAGCCAACACCGGCCGAAGGAAGAAGGAUCCGGAGCUGCAGAACCGCUCGGCUGUCAGGCUGGAAGCGGAACCGGUCCAAGGAAAGGGAGAGACACACAAAGAAUGUGGCUGGGGACACUGCCGGGCGACUCUUGGCUACUUCUGUGUCAGCACAACUCCUCAGACGCCUGCAAACUGAGGUGCAUCUGCAUCUUCGGGAUGUUCACGGUCUAGGAGCCGGCAAGAAGAUGCCGCCAAGAGCAACUCGGUACCCAAGCCAGAACUUAUCAGAUUCAUUGUUAACAAUAUUGGAUGAUAUUCCUACUGUGAAUAUGCUGUACCAGAUGUGUUUCCUGAAGCAAGUCUCAUUGAUUAAAGGAAGUCAUUAUCAUCUUGAAAACCAAUUUAUGGAAGAGCACCAAAAGUUUCUAGCUUGAGCAUCUAAUAAAUGGUCCUGGAUUUGGAAGAGCA